UAACGAUCCGGAAACGGGUGCUAAUACCGCAUAGUUUCUUGAUCGCAUGAUGAGAAAGGAAAGACGGCCUUGUGCUGUCGCUUAUGGAUGGACCCGCGGCGUAUUAGUUAGUUGGUGAGGUAACGGCUCACCAAGACGAUGAUACGUAGCCGACCUGAGAGGGUGAUCGGCCACAUUGGGACUGAGACACGGCCCAAACUCCUACGGGAGGCAGCAGUAGGGAAUCUUCCGCAAUGGACGAAAGUCUGACGGAGCAACGCCGCGUGAGUGAAGAAGGUUUUUUCCGGAUCGUAAAACUCUGUUGUCAGAGAAGAACUAAGUUGGGAGAGUAACUGCUCCAGCCUUGACGGUAUCUGACCAGAAAGCCACGGCUAACUACGUGCCAGCAGCCGC
rnacentral:rRNA from 1 species